rnacentral:rRNA from 1 species
UACGAAGGGGGGCUAGCGUUGCUCGGAAUUACUGGGCGUAAAGGGAGCGUAGGCGGGUUAUCAAGUUGGGGGUGAAAGCCCGGGGCUCAACCUCGGAAUUGCCUUCAAAACUGAUAACCUGGAGUAUGGAAGAGGUAAGUGGAACUCCGAGUGUAGAGGUGAAAUUCGUAGAUAUUCGCAAGAACACCAAGUGGCCGAAGGCGGCUCACUGGCCCCGAUACUGACGCUGAGGCACGAAAGCGUGGGGAGCAAACAGG